rnacentral:rRNA from 1 species
GAUGAACGCUGACAGAAUGCUUAACACAUGCCAGUCAUUGGCGAAGCUGCGCUUGCGCAGUCUAGCCAAGGCGGACGGGUGAGUAACGCGUAAGGAACUUGCCCUGCAGACAGGGAUAACAGACGUAAACGACUGAUAACACCUGGUAUUGUCAGGCUGGCGCAUGCCGGCCUGAUGAAAGGAGACGCUGCAGGAGAGCCUUGCGUCCUAUUAGCUAGUUGGUGGGGUAACGGCCCACCAAGGCGAUGAUAGGUAGCCGGCCUGAGAGGGUGAACGGCCACAAGGGGACUGAGAUACGGCACUGACUCCUACGGGAGGCAGCAGUGGGGAAUAUUGGACAAUGGGGGCAACACUGAUCCAGCAAUUCUGUGUGCACGAAGAAGGUUUUCGGAUUGUAAAGAGCUUUCAGCAGGGAAGAAGAAAGUGACGGUACCUGCAGAAGAAGCGACGGCUAAAUACGUG